GUGUGUACAAUCUCUGGACUUCCUUUCCUUAACAUUUGUUUGUUUCAUUUUCUGCAGUUCUUCUGACUCUACCCUGCUACAGCACACAUGGGCAGGUCAAUCCUUUUGGAAUUCCAGUCUCCGUCCAUGCUGGGAAGUUCUACGGCACGUCUCCCAGAGAUCACGUCUGCGACGGGCUUAAUUAUAGAGGUCUAGAUUUCACCUGCUGUGAAGGAGUACGUCAUGAAGGGGCGGGACUGUCCUGCUGUGGAAGCAGAGCCUUUAACCUCACCCAGGCUUCCUGCUGUACCUAUUCACUCGAACCUGGUCAACUGACUCUGAAUGUAAGCCAGCUGGUGUCAGAUUGCUGUGGGUUGAGGGCCUACGACCCACUCAACCAACUGUGUUGUGACUCACGGAUCCUGAACAGGACCCAAACCCAUGCAAAGUGUUGUGGAAAAGAGCUUUACGAUGAAGACCACCAGCUUUGCUGUGGAAAUAUUGUCGAAGGAAGGAAGGUCCUGGCCAAAAUGUCCAGUCACCACCGAUGCUGUGGAGACCACCAGUUUGACCAGCAAAGCCACUGCUGCUGCUCUGAAACACUAUCCCCAGAGCCUCUCAAUGCAAGCUGCUGUGCAUCAACAAGUUCUAAUCUGAGGGGAAUUGAUGCGAGUUCUCCAAACUGGUAAAGGUUGCCUUCAUCCGUAUAAAGAACCUCAUACUGUCUCACUUUUUAUUUAUUCAAUGUUCCAUUCAACCAUUUCAUUAACAGUCAGGGUUUCAAAUAAUAAUUUUGAUGUCUCAGUUGCUAAAAGCCACAUUGGGGGUGGCAUCCGUUUCAAAUUAUGCUUUAUUUUCCUUGUGGCUUUUGGCCGAGGCCCGAGAUAUUGAAUGGCCUGCCAACAAGCACAAGAAGGGAGUUUAACUGGUAACCUUUUGUCUGUAGAAAAAGAGUGGUGGAAUAAUUAGAAACGUAACGAUGAUUGUUUUUUAACAUGGUUUUUCACAACUAUGCUUGUGUUUGUGUACAUAUACGUUUAUUGUUUAUGUAUGUGUAGGUGCAUGUUGUUGUAUUGCAUCUCUCUCGCUCUCUGCAUGCCUCCAGUAUGCCAGGGGAGAGGCCCUGUGGUCGAGGUGCCUGUUUUAACCCAACAACAGAGGGUUGCUGUGAGAACCCUACAUCUCUCCAAGGGAAGCGUUACUUGCGUCACCAGACCUGCUGUGAAGGAAUACUCAGCCGCACCCCAUGUAAGACAGCACAAGGUGUCCGACUAGUUUUAUUUAUUUUUUGUUUUUGUAUCGGAGGCU